ACUGGAAAGUGGAAACCCUCGACACUGCCAAAUUGGUCCCUCUUCUCCUCUCCAAGGCAUUCUCAAUUCCCUAUCAAACCCUCUAAAAAUUUCACCACUGUUUACCUAUUUUACCAUCACCAUCUCUCUCUCUCUCUUUGUGUCUCUAUCUCUUCAAGAAAAUCGAGUGUCUCUUUUGCCCCAAAACUCCAAAACACCAAGAACAGUGUAACACCCACUAGAAGCCUGAACUUUGUUUUUUUAUUAUUUAUUUUUAAAAAUUUAUCAGAAUUAUAGUAUCCAUGUUUCGUAUUAUCGGAUGAUGUUGUCUUAAUGUCUUUCUGCUGUUUUACCCUAUUCAUAAAAUAAGUAGGAGUCUUAAACUAUAUGUUUUAAUAUAUAUAUAGAUUUUCGCGAUAAUUUCUGAAACCCUUUGCUGAAAAAGCUCUGUUUCUUGUUCUUGCAAUAGAAAAGACUCAUUCUUUUGUCAAUGCGACCUCAUGAUCUCUCUGCUAAACCCUCCGUAGACAAUCCCCUCUCUGAUCUCGCUAUGUCCGGUUCAUCCCCGAUCCAACAGAAUCCCGGUGAAAGCAAGAACACUGCUAACAGUAACCACAGUAAUAGCAACCUGAGUAAACGGAACAAUGACUGUAGUAAUAACAAUUUUGUAGUUAGGAGAGAGCGGCCGGCGAGGGAGUGCACGAAACGUGCUGCGGCGAGGCUGCAGGCUCAGGCUGCUGCCGAGGCAGAGGCACAGGCUGCAGCGAGGCAGCGAAAGAAGAAGACUUCAGCUAGGAAGGAGAGGUUGGCUGCUAGGCUGCUCAGGGAGGAGGAGGAGGAUGAGGAGGAGGAAUAUGAGGAUGAGAAGAUGAAUGGGAAUGAGGAGGAGGAGGGAGAGGAAGAGGAGGACGGGUUGUCCAAGUCGUCUAAGCAGCAGUGCAGUAAGAUAGUUACUCCUUUGGUGGCAGAGCCGGAGGCAUCACAGUUGCCACGGUGGAAGCUCCGGUCCAUGUGGCAGUUAGCUUCCAUACUGAAUUUCUUGAAUAUUUUCAGGCCGUUGCUGAACAUUAAAGUGGAGUUCUCAGUUGAGGAAUUUGAAACAGCAUUGAUCAUGCCAAAUAGUACACUAGCUGAUAUACACAUGCCACUAUUGAAGGCAAUCCCUCCUGUUACACGAGUGGCACUUGGAUACAAUACUUGGGUAACUGUUUUGUGCAGAAAAUUAAGAGAUUGGUGGCACUGGGUUGCAGAGGGGGAAUUACCUAUUGUAGCAUCACAUGGGGCUGAAAUUGAUGCAUACAGUGCACUUGAUCCUGCUGUUCGUGUGGUUAUUCUCAAAGCAUUAUGUGAUAUUCGUGUUGAGCAAGAGGAUAUUCGUAACUAUAUUGAUAACUCAUUAAAACAAGGCGUUCAACUUUCUGCGUUUCGCAAAGAACGAAUUGGAGGUGAUUCACAUGGAAUCUCUUAUUGGUAUGAAGAUGAUCCCAUCAUUGGUCAUCGAUUAUACCGUGAGAUCAGAAAAGUUGAGGUGAAGAAAGGAAAGGGGAAAAAUGUGCAGCCUAUUCCUAACUCAUGUUACCAGUGGGAAACUGCUGCUACUAAUUUGGAUGAAUUCCAGGAUGUCUCUGAGAAGCUAUUUACAAGUAACAAUAGAACAGAGGUUUCUGUUGGGAAAAAGUUGAAAAAUAACAUGCUUCAUGAGAUUGAGAAGGUCCACAAGAGAAAAGAGAAAUUGUUGAAGAAACAGCACAGACAAGCUUUGUUGCUUGACAGUAUGAUGAAUAUUGAUGGCUUUACUGCUGGACGUUCCCUUCGUGGUAGAAAGCCCGUGACCUAUAGUUUUGAUGAUUAUGAUCGAUCAAUUAAUGAGGCUAUCAAAGUAACCACAAAGAAACAGCCAUCCCCAGAACACGCUGGCAGAAGAGAUGCUUCUGUGAAACGUGAAGCUCCUGCAAAUGGUAUAUCGAGAGGUCCUCAAUUUCCACACGUGUCCUUCAAACUACGCUCUCCUAAGUCACCCGAGUAUGAUGAAUAUGAUGAUGACUAUGACAAAGCUGAACCAUUGGAUCGCGGCAACCGACAAAGGCAGAGACCCCAACGGUAUUCUGAAAAAGAGUUUGUUGAAGCUGUAUCUGAUAAUGAGGCGGAAUUCAACAGUGACGAUGAUAUAGUUGGUGAAGUUGUGUACGAUGAUGAAUAUUUAAGGAGACGAAAACAGCGGCGUAUGGCUUCAAGUAGCUCGGAAGGCGAUGAAGAGUACAAAUGGGAUGAAGAAACUCCUGAAGAAGAAGAAGAAGAGGAGGAUGAUGAUGAUGGAGAUGACUCCUUUAGUGCCAGCGAGGACAGCGGGGAGCACCGAAGACUAAAAAGAUUACGGGUGGGCCGCACUCGAAGAGAAAGUAAACUGAGGUCUGCCGGUGAGUUUCAAUCAGGUUUGAGGCGUAGUAGAAGGGCAACUAGAAACUCUAUCGAUUAUAAACAGUAUGAGCUGUCAGAAUCGGAGACAGAGCCAAUGAAACCUGAGAAGUCGAACUCUUCAGAUGAUUAUGAUUAUAAUAAUGAAUUUUCAACCGGAAGUACCGAGUCUGUGGAAAACAGUGAUAAUCAGGACGGGAAAGCCAAUCAAUCUGUUAAUGUGGCAACCGGGACUACAUCAGAGCAAGCAAAUGCGCCCGAUUAUAGACAGUAUGAGCUGUCAGAAUCAGAGAUGGAGCCAGUGAAACCUGAUAAGUCGAACUCUUCAGAUGAGUACUAUAACGGUCUUGAUUAUAAUAAUGCUGAAUUUUCAACCAGAAGUACUGAGUCCGAGGAAAACAAUGAUAAUCAGGACGGGAAAGCCAAUCAAUCUGUCAAUAUGGCGACUGGGACUACAUUAGAGCAAGCAAAUGCACCCGAAAUAUCAAAUAGCACAGAUCAAGAGGAAGUUGAAGGUGGAGGAAGAAAGAGGCGCUUUCUUGAUCUCAAUGAGCUUGCCCCAGGCUCUGGUUUCGAUGACGGUCCAAGUUCAGAAAUUAAAGACAAUAGUGCAGAUGGCUUCUAAAGUUUCCCCAUCGUGGAAAACAUUCUACGGUAUUCAACUUAUAAAAUUUUCAGGAGUCCACUCAAUGGCAGUUGAUAAGUAAAUCUCUCUUGGCGACUUUUAGUCAGCUGCUUGCAUUUCAUUACCAGAUUCAGCAGCUGACGGGCGGGUGCAUUUCUGAUUCCUUUCGAGAUUUGGACGAAGUUUCUUCGCAACCGGAACAGGGCAGGCACUAUUGGUUCAAUGAAGUGAGGGAGAAAAUGGUUUGAAAAGGGACAGAAAUUCCCAAGGUAGCAUGAUUUUGAUAUGCUUUUCCAAUCUUUAUUCAAACAUGAUAUUUGAUUUGGCUUGAUUUGAUGACUACCCCGCACUCAUAAAAAUUACUUUCUUUGGGUAACCUCUGCCAAGAUGACUAAAGAUACAAAUUUGUAAUCACAAGGUCAUAACUCAGGAGUUCGAAUCCAAACUCUCUUAGUUUGACC